rnacentral:rRNA from 1 species
AUUGAACGCUGGCGGCAUGCCUUACACAUGCAAGUCGAACGGCAGCACGGGAGCAAUCCUGGUGGCGAGUGGCGAACGGGUGAGUAAUACAUCGGAACGUGCCCAAUCGUGGGGGAUAACGCAGCGAAAGCUGUGCUAAUACCGCAUACGAUCUACGGAUGAAAGCAGGGGACCGCAAGGCCUUGCGCGAAUGGAGCGGCCGAUGGCAGAUUAGGUAGUUGGUGGGGUAAAGGCUCACCAAGCCAACGAUCUGUAGCUGGUCUGAGAGGACGACCAGCCACACUGGGACUGAGACACGGCCCAGACUCCUACGGGAGGCUGCAGUGGGGAAUUUUGGACAAUGGGCGCAAGCCUGAUCCAGCCAUGCCGCGUGCAGGAUGAAGGCCUUCGGGUUGUAAACUGCUUUUGUACGGAACGAAACGGCUCUUUCUAAUAAAGAGGGCUAAUGACGGUACCGUAAGAAUAAGCACCGGCUAACUACGUGCCAGCCGCCGCCGUAAUAC